rnacentral:rRNA from 1 species
AUUGAACGCUGGCGGCAUGCCUUACACAUGCAAGUCGAACGGCAGCACGGGAGCAAUCCUGGUGGCGAGUGGCGAACGGGUGAGUAAAGUAUCGGAACGUGCCCAGUCGUGGGGGAUAACGUAGCGAAAGUUACGCUAAUACCGCAUACGAUCUAUGGAUGAAAGCGGGGGAUCGCAAGACCUCGCGCGAUUGGAGCGGCCGAUAUCAGAUUAGGUAGUUGGUGGGGUAAAGGCUCACCAAGCCGACGAUCUGUAGCUGGUCUGAGAGGACGACCAGCCACACUGGGACGGAGACACGGCCCAGACUCCUACGGGAGGCAGCAGUGGGGAAUUUUGGACGAUGGGCGAAAGCCUGAUCCAGCCAUGCCGCGUGCAGGAUGAAGGCCUUCGGGUUGUAAACUGCUUUUGUACGGAACGAAAAGGUUUGGCCUAAUAAGCUGAGCUCAUGACGGUACCGUAAGAAUAAGCACCGGCUAACUACGUGCCAGCAGCCGCGGUAA